AGCGAACGCUGGCGGUAUGCUUAACACAUGCAAGUCGAACGGCAGCACAGUAAGAGCUUGCUCUUACGGGAGGUGAGUGGUGGACGUGUUAGGAAUCCGUCGGAAUAUACUUUUUCAAGGUAGCUAACGUAGGGAAAUUUCCGCUGAUAACGCAGACGACCUCCGUGUGAAAGCUGCGGAAGUUCUGAUAUGACUGUAAAGACUGCGCCGAUGUCGGAUUAGCUCGUGUGCGGGGAACAAGCUCACGAAGGAGCCGAUCCGUAGCGCGUCUGAGAGGAUGGACAGCCACACUGGAAGUGAGACAGGGUCCAGACUCCUACGGGAGGCAGCAGUGGGGAAUAUUGGGCAAUGGGGGAAAGCCUGAUACAGCCAUACCGCGUGAGUGAAGAAGGCCCUCGGGUUGUAAAGCCCUUUUGUUGGGAAAGAAGAGCAGCAGGUUAAUACCCCGCUGUUCUGACGGUACCCAAAGAGUAAGCACCGGCUAACUUCGUG
rnacentral:rRNA from 1 species